UGUCAUAUGGGAUUGUUGACAUGAACCUCGCAGGAAGUAAAAAGAGCAUGAACCCAUUUUCUAUUCAUUCACUGCAUAGAAAUAGCCUGGCUCCAGAUCUGUUUUGUGUUGCACACCCGUAACAAACUUGCAUGUCAACUCAACAAUGUUUGGCAAUGCAUCACAAUGACCAUAUUAUCUGGGACCAGACUAGAACAUAAAUAAUCUCCACAGAAAUGAAACUCUAAACAAAAGAACCAAUUCAAUGAGAUGUCCAACUCUAAACACACACCAACCUCACCUCAGUCUAGACUGGUUAUGGAAGAGAGUUUGGGUUCUGUGAACUCACUAGUAAACCCUGUCAUCAGUGACAACCUUUAUGUCACUGUGUGCAGUUUGUUAGUCGAGCGGUAUGCCAUUACGUAACUAAACUGCAUUGUUGAGCCGGGCAGUGUUCAUUUGAACAUGUUUUAGGACCAAGGUUUUGGCACUGAACACUACCAGUCAUUGGUCAGCUAGUAGAGUCAUGUCAUUCCACUCGGAUUCACAAAAAUUUAACAAAGACAGGACAGCUCAGAGGAGACAAUUCUUUGUAGUGUUAUGUACAUAAAAAAACACAUGCAGUAUGUGGGCCACAUGGGAAUAAAACACACCAUAACCCUGGUGUUGCCAACAUCAUACUCCAACUAACCGAGCCAUUCUACCCAUGUCAGCACAAGCUAACCAUUUGCCUUUACGAAAACCUUGAUGAUAAACCUCAAAUCCAGAUCCCAUCACGAGAUAAUGUAUUAUAGUAUGUACAGUACUCCAACCUAGCUAUUGUAUGUGCACUUUAUGUCCCUAGAGUGUUGUUUUGAAGUGGACACACCCCAACCAUGGGUGUGUGUGUGAAUAAGUUAUCCAUUACUCCUGGUGACGCACUAUACCACUGUUCUGAUUGGGCCAGUGGGCUCUGACAUGGUCACACAAAAGCGCACCGUAUAGUAUUGCAUAACAUACACAUCCCUUGUAUUAUCGUGUCAGUUUCCUGCACACGUAGAGAGAACACCUGCAUUUCAAUAUGCUGAGAGGUAUUUGCUUUUGUGGCCUAAUGCAGCUUUGUCAUUAUAUGGUGUAGGCCUACAUUCGAAGAGGGUUCUCAAAAAGAAAAUGGACUAUGCAGUCAAGAUCAUCGACAUCAAUCCUUCUGACAAGAUCUCGGCUGCAGAGAUCGAGGAGAUCAAAGUGGCCACAGAGAAGGAGAUUGAUAUUCUCAAAAGAAGUCUAUGGAAUGGACAACAUCAGACCUGAGCCCUAGGACCAUGCCCCAGGACUACCUGACAUGAUGACUCCUUGCUGUCCCCAGUCCACCUGGCCGUGCUGCUGCUCCAGUUUCAACUGUUCUGCCUUAUUAUUAUUCAACCUUGCUGGUCAUUUAUGAACAUUUGAACAUCUUGGCCAUGUUCUGUUAUAAUCUCCACCCGGCACAGCCAGAAGAGGACUGGCCACCCCACAUAGCCUGGUUCCUCUCUAGGUUUCUUCCUAGGUUUUGGCCUUUCUAGGGAGUUUUUCCUAGCCACCGUGCUUCUACACCUGCAUUGCUUGCUGUUUGGGGUUUUAGGCUGGGUUUCUGUACAGCACUUUGAGAUAUCAGCUGAUGUACGAAGGGCUAUAUAAAUAAAAUUGAUUUGAUUUGUUUACUUUCUGUAUUGAAUACAGAUUGCCCCAUCUUCAAUUUGAUCGAUUAUUAACGUUUAAAAAUACCUAAAGUUGUAUUACAAAAGUAGUUUGAAAUAUUUUGGCAAAGUUUAUAGGCAACUUUUGAAAUGUUUUAUAGUGAUGUUCUGUUUUUGUAAGCUGUUUUUUUCUGGAUCAAACGUGCUUUAUAAAUGGACAUUUUGGGUAUAUAUGGACGGAAUUAAUCGAGAAAAAAAGGACAAAUUGUGAUGUUUAUGGGACAUAUUGAGGUGCCAACAAAAGAAGCUCGUCAAAGGUAAUGCAUGUUUUAUAUUUUAUUUCAGCGUUUUGUGUAGCGCCUGCAGGUUUGAAAUAUGCUACCCUCUUUAUUGACAGUGCUAUCAUCAGAUAAUAGCUUCUUAAUGCUUUCGCCGCAAAGCUUUUUAAAAUCCGACACGUUGGCUGGAUUCACAACGAGUGUAGCUUUAAUUGAGUAUCUUACAUGUGUGAUUUAAUGAAUGUUUGAUUUUAUAUCAUUUUUUUUAUUUGCCGCGCUGCAUUUUCCUUGUUUUUUCCCCCCAAGUGAGACGCAAGCGUCCCCUAUACCAUAAGUUAAAUUCACCUAUAUUUAAACAAAACUGACUUUAUAAACAUUUUAUCAACAGGUGCCAUCAGGUUCUUUAGAACGGUAGGGCUAAAAAAGUCAAUAGUAUCAUAUGAAACGUUACUACGGUAUUCUAAAAUGUUGGUAUCAUAAGCAUCAUGACGUUUUGGUACUGGUAGACAGUGCAACAGCACCUGACUCAAGUAAAUCAGCUAAAAUGAAUAUCAUGAUGAUGAUGAUCAUGAUGAUGGUGAUCAUGAUGGGGAAGAAGUGUGACAUCACUCCGUCCCCCACGGACUGGAGUUACCCAUCCCUGCUCUAAGUAUUUGAAAGAUUUCAAAUCGUUUGAACACAGAUCUGGACAAGUGCUUGCUUGACAAGCAAUAAAGUAAUGUAAGCCAGAUUAAUGAACUCUCCAACCCACCACUCACAACAAACAGUCAAACACACACUCCUACCUCUGUGAGGAGAUCAGCCAGCUCAGCAUGGACCUUGGUUCUGAGGGAGGUGCGGGCCACGUGGAUGAGGGUCUCUCUGUCCAUCUCUCUGGUCACCUUCAUCUCCUCCAGCACCUCCAGAGCCUUAUCCUUGG